GACGAAGGAUGCAAGCGUUAUCCGGAUUCAUUGGGUUUAAAGGGUGCGUAGGCGGCCAGAUAAGUCAGUGGUGAAAGCCUGUUGCUUAACAACAGAACUGCCAUUGAUACUGUUUGGCUUGAGUACAGAUGCUGUGGGCGGAAUAUGACAUGUAGUGGUGAAAUACAUAGAGAUGUCAUAGAACACCGAUUGCGAAGGCAGCUCACAAAAACUGUAACUGACGCUGAGGCACGAAAGUGCGGGGAUCAAACAGG
rnacentral:rRNA from 1 species